rnacentral:rRNA from 1 species
UACGAAGGGGGCUAGCGUUGCUCGGAAUCACUGGGCGUAAAGGGUGCGUAGGCGGGUCUUUAAGUCAGGGGUGAAAUCCUGGAGCUCAACUCCAGAACUGCCUUUGAUACUGAGGAUCUUGAGUCCGGGAGAGGUGAGUGGAACUGCGAGUGUAGAGGUGAAAUUCGUAGAUAUUCGCAAGAACACCAGUGGCGAAGGCGGCUCACUGGCCCGGUACUGACGCUGAGGUGCGAAAAGCGUGGGGGAGCAAACAGG